AUUGAACGCUGGCGGAAUGCUUUACACAUGCAAGUCGAACGGCAGCACGGGGGCAACCCUGGUGGCGAGUGGCGAACGGGUGAGUAAUACGUCGGAACGUGCCCGGUCGUGGGGGAUAACGUAGCGAAAGUUACGCUAAUACCGCAUACGAUCUGAGGAUGAAAGCGGGGGACCUUCGGGCCUCGCGCGAUCGGAGCGGCCGAUGUCAGAUUAGGUAGUUGGUGGGGUAAAGGCCUACCAAGCCGACGAUCUGUAGCUGGUCUGAGAGGACGACCAGCCACACUGGGACUGAGACACGGCCCAGACUCCUACGGGAGGCAGCAGUGGGGAAUUUUGGACAAUGGGCGCAAGCCUGAUCCAGCCAUUCCGCGUGCAGGACGAAGGCCUUCGGGUUGUAAACUGCUUUUGUAUGGAACGAAAAGGCUCUGGCUAAUACCUGGGGCUCAUGACGGUACCGUAAGAAUAAGCACCGGCUAACUACGUG
rnacentral:rRNA from 1 species